AAUGAACGCUGGCGGCGCGCCUAAUACAUGCAAGUCGAGCGAGAAGACGUAGCAAUACGUUUGUAAAGCGGCGAACGGGUGAGGAAUACAUGGGUAACCUACCCUCGAGUGGGGAAUAACUAGCCGAAAGGUUAGCUAAUACCGCGUACGCUCCUUGGACUUCGGUUCAGGGAGGAAAGCGAUGCCGAGGGUAUCGCGCUCUUGGAUGGGCUCAUGUCCUAUCAGCUUGUUGGUGAGGUGACGGCUCACCAAGGCUUCGACGGGUAGCUGGUCUGAGAGGACGAUCAGCCACACUGGCACUGCGACACGGGCCAGACUCCUACGGGAGCAGCAGUAAGGAAUAUUGCGCAAUGGGCGAAAGCCUAACGCAGCGACGCCGCGUGGGGGAUGAAGGUCUUCGGAUU
rnacentral:rRNA from 1 species